rnacentral:rRNA from 1 species
CCUACGGGCGGCAGCAGUGGGGAAUCUUGCACAAUGGGGGAAACCCUGAUGCAGCGACGCCGCGUGCGCGAAGAAGUAUUUCGGUAUGUAAAGUUCUAUUAGCAGGGAAGAAAAUGACGGUACCUGAGUAAGAAGCUUCGGCUAAAUACGUGCCAGCAGCCGCGGUAAUACGUAUGGAGCAAGCGUUAUCCGGAUUUACUGGGUGUAAAGGGAGCGCAGGCGGCCUUGCAAGUUUGAGGUGAAAUACUGGGGCUCAACCCCGGCGCUGUAUUGGAAACUGUGAGGCUUGAGUGUCGGAGAGGCAGGCGGAAUUCCUAGGGUAGCGGUGAAAUGCGUAGAUAUUAGGAGGAACACCAGUGGCGAAGGCAGGCUGCUGG